AACCCAUGAAGAAGCUAAGCACCUGCGGAAAAAGCACAAAAACAAGCUAACACGAGGUAAGUAAAAAAUUACCAUCAUAAAGAUCAAAUUCUCUUUAGACCUAUAAAAUUCACCUUUCAGCAUAGGAUUUCAUAGACACAAUACUUCCUCAAUGGAUAAGAUCUCCUUCUAGUCCACUUAGCUGCACCUUUCCUCAUAUUCUUGCAUGUGUUCAAUUUACCCAGACAGAAGUCAUUGAAUCAAUGAUAGAUUCGAGGAAAUAUUAGUUGCAAAGGAUCAUCCCUAAAGUUGACCGCAUAAAGCACCCAAACAUAACACGCUGCAUCGUUACACUUUAUCAAAACUCGCAAGGAAAUAUUUCCAUCUAUAAAAUAGAUGCACAACCCCACUAAUACUACGGGGAAAUAUCUAAUUUCUAAAAGUUCCUAAAGUCCUCCCUAUUCCAGGAUGUUUCAAAAAAAA